CAUGCAGUCGAGCGGUAACAGGGGUAGCUUGCUACCCGCUGACGAGCGGCGGACGGGUGAGUAAUGCAUGGGUAUCUGCCCGGUAGUGGGGGAUAACUCGGGGAAACCCGAGCUAAUACCGCAUACGUCCUACGGGAGAAAGCAGGGGAUCUUCGGACCUUGCGCUAUCGGAUGAGCCCAUGUCGGAUUAGCUUGUUGGUGAGGUAACGGCUCACCAAGGCGACGAUCCGUAGCUGGUCUGAGAGGAUGAUCAGCCACACCGGGACUGAGACACGGCCCGGACUCCUACGGGAGGCAGCAGUGGGGAAUAUUGGACAAUGGGGGAAACCCUGAUCCAGCCAUGCCGCGUGUGUGAAGAAGGCCUUCGGGUUGUAAAGCACUUUCAGUGGGGAAGAAGGCAUGAUGAUUAAUACUCGUCAUGAAGGACAUCACCCACAGAAGAAGCACCGGCUAACUCCGUGCCAGCAGCCGCGGUAAUACGGAGGGUGCAAGCGUUAAUCGGAAUUACUGGGCGUAAAGGGCGCGUAGGCGGCUUGCCAAGCCGGAUGUGAAAGCCCCGGGCUCAACCCGGGAACGGCAUUCGGAACUGGUAGGCUAGAGUGCAGGAGAGGAAGGUGGAAUUCCCGGUGUAGCGGUGAAAUGCGUAGAGAUCGGGAGGAAUACCAGUGGCGAAGGCGGCCUUCUGGACUGACACUGACGCUGAGGCGCGAAAGCGUGGGUAGCAAACAGGAUUAGAUACCCUGGUAGUCCACGCCGUAAACGAUGUCGACCAGCCGUUGGACCCCUUGAGGGUUUGGUGGCGCAGUUAACGCAAUAAGUCGACCGCCUGG
rnacentral:rRNA from 1 species